rnacentral:rRNA from 1 species
GCCUGGUAGUCCACGCUGUAAACGAUGUCGACUUGGAGGUUGUGCCCUUGAGGCGUGGCUUCCGGAGCUAACGCGUUAAGUCGACCGCCUGGGGAGUACGGCCGCAAGGUUAAAACUCAAAUGAAUUGACGGGGGCCCGCACAAGCGGUGGAGCAUGUGGUUUAAUUCGAUGCAACGCGAAGAACCUUACCUACUCUUGACAUCCACGGAAUUCGCCAGAGAUGGCUUAGUGCCUUCGGGAACCGUGAGACAGGUGCUGCAUGGCUGUCGUCAGCUCGUGUUGUGAAAUGUUGGGUUAAGUCCCGCAACGAGCGCAACCCUUAUCCUUUGUUGCCAGCACGUAAUGGUGGGAACUCAAAGGAGACUGCCGGUGAUAAACCGGAGGAAGGUGGGGAUGACGUCAAGUCAUCAUGGCCCUUACGAGUAGGGCUACACACGUGCUACAAUGGCAUAUACAAAGAGAAGCGAACUCGCGAGAGCAAGCGGACCUCAUAAAGUAUGUCGUAGUCCGGAUUGGAGUCUGCAACUCGACUCCAUGAAGUCGGAAUCGCUAGUAAUCGUAGAUCAGAAUGCUACGGUGAAUACGUUCCCGGGCCUUGUACACACCGCCCGUCACACCAUGGGAGUGGGUUGCAAAAGAAGUAGGUAGCUUAACCUU